GAUGAACGCUGGCGGCGUGCCUAAUACAUGCAAGUCGAGCGAACGGACGAGAAGCUUGCUUCUCUGAUGUUAGCGGCGGACGGGUGAGUAACACGUGGAUAACCCACCUAUAAGACUGGGAUAACUUCGGGAAACCGGAGCUAAUACCGGAUAAUAUUUUGAACCGCAUGGUUCAAAAGUGAAAGACGGUCUUGCUGUCACUUAUAGAUGGAUCCGCGCUGCAUUAGCUAGUUGGUAAGGUAACGGCUUACCAAGGCAACGAUGCAUAGCCGACCUGAGAGGGUGAUCGGCCACACGAGAACGGAGACACGGUCCAGACUCCUACGGGAGGCAGCAGUAGGGAAUCUUCCGCAAUGGGCGAGAGCCUGACGUAGCAACGCCGCGUGAGUGAUGAAGGUCUUCGGAUCGUAAAACUCUGUUAUUAGGGAAGAACAUAUGUGUAAGUAACUGUGCACAUCUUGACGGUACCUAAUCAGAAAGCCACGGCUAACUACGUG
rnacentral:rRNA from 1 species